UCACCCCACCCCCCCCCCCGCUCUCCCAGGUACAUUCCCCAGCAACUACAGGUGAUGCAAUACCACCUCCCUUGCCUCCAUCCAGAGAUCCCAGCAAUCUUUCCAGAUGAGAAUGAGGUUCGUGUGCACCGCUAUAACCCACAUUGACUGCAUUUAGCACUCCCAAUGUACCCUUAUUUACAUCUGUGAGACAAGGCGAUAGUUUCGCCAAACAACUAUGUUUGCUCAGCCAGGGCCUGGUUGUCUGCUGGUUACUGACCAUUUUAAUUCCCCUUCCCAUUUCCAUGCCAACAUUUCUGUCCUGGGCGCCUUCCAUGGCCAGAAUGAUGCAAACUGGAAUAACAACAAUUCCUAUUCUGCUUGGGACGCCUCCAACCUAAUGGUAUGAACAUCAAAUUCUCCAAUUUUAAAUAAUACACUCACCAUCUUGAUCCUCUCUCUUUUCCAUGCCCCAACUCCCCCCCCACUCGAACACAAAGUU